UCAGGACGAACGCUGGCGGCGUGCUUAACACAUGCAAGUCGAACGAGAAUCACCGGAAAGAGGAUUCGGUCCCAAUGGGAAGGUGAGGAAAGUGGCGGACGGGUGAGUAACGCGUGGGUAACCUGCCUCAUACAGGGGGAUAGCAGCUGGAAACGGCUGGUAAUACCGCAUAAGCGCACGGAACCGCAUGGUUUUGUGUGAAAAACUCCGGUGGUAUGAGAUGGACCCGCGUCUGAUUAGCUAGUUGGUGAGGUAACGGCCCACCAAGGCGACGAUCAGUAGCCGACCUGAGAGGGUGACCGGCCACAUUGGGACUGAGACACGGCCCAGACUCCUACGGGAGGCAGCAGUGGGGAAUAUUGCACAAUGGAGGAAACUCUGAUGCAGCGACGCCGCGUGAGUGAAGAAGUAAUUCGUUAUGUAAAGCUCUAUCAGCAGGGAAGAUAGUGACGGUACCUGACUAAGAAGCUCCGGCUAAAUACGUG
rnacentral:rRNA from 1 species